rnacentral:lncRNA from 1 species
CAUGCACAUUAGCGGAAAGAUUAAAAGAACACAAGGACGAUCUAAAGAAAGGAAGAUUAAACACAGCCUUAGCACAGGAGUUUUACGUAUCAGACAUCGACGUCGUAUGGGAUAGAGCAAAAAUCGUUGGGAGAAUUGACAAUAGCAAACAAAUCUUUUUGAGAGAGUCCCUUGAAAUCGAGAAGAGGAGAAAGAAUAGGAAUGUGAUUAACAAUAAUAACUCCACAGAAUUACCAGCAGCAUGGGCGUACGCCGCAAAAGAGAUGUGCUAGCAACUGAAAAGACCAAGAAGCAAUAAUGUGUUAAAGCUUACAAGUUGAUAUUACAACUGUGUAAAUCAUAUAUUUACGCUGCACAUAACUUUUAGGCUUUUUGCAUGUUUGCAUAUGUUUGGUAACUCAUACACAUAUGUUUCUGGAUUUUAUUUAUAAUUGCUUUUAUUUUUGUUUUUAUUCUUCUUAUUUUCAUUUAUUAGCGAUAUGACGUAACUAUAACUGAAAACGUUCCGAUGUUCCAUUUUGUUAUUUUUAAAUUUUGCAGCAUAAUUCUUUAGAACCUGAAGAUGGUGAACAGCCGAAAAUGUUUGUUCUCUUUGCUAAUUAUAAUAAAAAAGAGUUACCCUGUACUGCAAAGAGUGCUUUUAUGUCUAUAUUGAAUAACCUGAUGAUAGGGGGUAACAGUAAAUGCACUGAGUUUAUUAAAUAUCAAAUCCUUCAUUUUAUGCAGUUGAGGUCAUGUGACAUUUAUUUGUUAGACUCCCAAAUACUCUGCUGUUUGUCAAUCUUAUGCAAAGUUUACUGGUGCAUGUAACAUUUGCUUAAUUUUUACUUUUUUAUCCAAUACCCUAUUUUAUAUUGAAUGGCUACAGCAGUGAUCUGUAAUCUUUUUUUUUUUUUUUUGAAAGUUUUGUGCAUUAAUUGCAAGUAAACGAGAAG